UAUUUUGAGAUUUUAUCAAUAUGAAAUUACUGUAUGUGGUUUGUUCAUUUCAUUAAAUGUCGUUUUCUCUUCACACAAGCACGGCGGCGGCGGUGAAUACUUUUGAGUUUAACUCAGAUUUAAGAUUUCUCUCAUGCGAAAAAGAUAGUGUAAGACUGAUAAAAACUUAAAACACACAUUUUAAAAAGAGAGAGUUAAAACACAUUAAA
rnacentral:sRNA from 1 species